UAACUAAGUUCACCAUCAAGGCUUCAUGUUUUACAUCAUUUUCUCUACUCUGUACACUGUGAUGUGCCUCUUCCUGAUGUUCACCUGCCCGAUCCUGAGAUGAUGAACUUCCAGCAGCUGCUUCUUUCACUAUGGAAUGAAGGUGAAACUAAAUGUUAUAGGUACCUAUACACUGUUGUAUUUGAUGUUUCCGUGUCAUUCACAGCAGAAGCAUUUGUGCAAGUCCUUGUCCCAAUUGAGAUAUAUUUGAAAAAGCCGACAGAUGCAUAAAAAAUGAAAAGAAAAAACAGAUUCAAGACUACAUCACAGAUAGAGAAAAGCACCUGAUUUGCUCAAAAGGUAUGUGAACCUUAGAAAAAAAAGAGUAAGCUAAGUUUAAUGAAAAUAAACCAAUGUAUCCAACAGCUUUCUCAUCCUUGGAAGAACUGUAUACUUAUAUCUGUGCUACUAAACUGAGUGUGAACGGGAGGGUUUCUGGACAUGGAGACCAAUUUCCAGAGCAUGAUCCAAGUCUGUGUUUGUAAAAUGCCUUAUCCCUAACACCAAGGUUGGCUGCAUGCAAGUUGCCUACGAAUAACAGCUCCGGAAGGACCUAGUUCCUCAACUGUACCUGAGAAUUGCUUGGAAAAGAAUAAGAGGAGCAUUGACAAAAGGUGAGCUGGCUUUUCCAACAGUAUAACACUAUUACACACCAUAUUCCAUUUCCAAGCAGUGCUAUGUUUUGAGAUAUAUACAUACAUAUAUGUCCCCUCUGGUUGCCGGGAAAGCUACUGCUUU